GGAAAGGGCUCAGUUCGAACAAAGGUUUGGGAAUUACAAAUCACAUUUAAACAGAGAUGACUAGACAAACUAAAAAGAGUAUUACAGAAGAAGAAGGAGAUCAUGAAGAUG
rnacentral:sRNA from 1 species